rnacentral:rRNA from 1 species
CUGUGCAACACGAAAGUGGACGUAUACGGUGUGACGCCUGCCCGGUGCUGGAAGGUUAAUUGAUGGGGUUAGCGGCAACGCGAAGCUCUUGAUCGAAGCCCCAGUAAACGGCGGCCGUAACUAUAACGGUCCUAAGGUAGCGAAAUUCCUUGUCGGGUAAGUUCCGACCUGCACGAAUGGCGUAAUGAUGGCCAGGCUGUCUCCACCCGAGACUCAGUGAAAUUGAACUCGCUGUGAAGAUGCAGUGUACCCGCGGCAAGACGGAAAGACCCCGUGAACCUUUACUAUAGCUUGACACUGAACCUUGAACCUUGAUGUGUAGGAUAGGUGGGAGGCUGUGAAGUGCGGACGCCAGUCUGCACGGAGCCAUCCUUGAAAUACCACCCUUGAAUGUUUGAUGUUCUAACGCAGGCCCGUUAUCCGGGUCGCGGACAGUGUCUGGUGGGUAGUUUGACUGGGGCGGUCUCCUCCCAAAGCGUAACGGAGGAGCACGAAGGUUAGCUAAUCACGGUCGGACAUCGUGAGGUUAGUGCAAUGGCAUAAGCUAGCUUGACUGCGAGAGUGACAGCUCGAGCAGGUACGAAAGUAGGUCAUAGUGAUCCGGUGGUUCUGAAUGGAAGGGCCAUCGCUCAACGGAUAAAAGGUACUCCGGGGAUAACAGGCUGAUACCGCCCAAGAGUUCAUAUCGACGGCGGUGUUUGGCACCUCGAUGUCGGCUCAUCACAUCCUGGGGCUGAAGUAGGUCCCAAGGGUACGGCUGUUCGCCGUUUAAAGUGGUACGCGAGCUGGGUUUAGAACGUCGUGAGACAGUUCGGUCCCUAUCUGCCGUGGGCGUUGGAAGAUUGAAAGGGGCUGCUCCUAGUACGAGAGGACCGGAGUGGACGCACCACUGGUGUUCGGGUUGUCAUGCCAAUGGCACUGCCCGGUAGCUAAGUGCGGAAGAGAUAACCGCUGAAAGCAUCUAAGCGGGAAACUUGCCUUGAGAUGAGUCUUCCCUUGUCCCUUGAGGAUACUGAAGGAACGUUCAAGACGAGGACGUGGAUAGGCUGGGUGUGUAAGCGUAGCGAUACGUUGAGCUAACCAGUACUAAUGAACCGUGAGGCUUAACCUG